CAUUAUCUUCUUCUUCAUCUUUAUUUACGUACACAGACACAUCACACCAAAUUCACAACUUUAACCCUAAAAUUUCACUACACACCCCCACAAACAACCCAAAAUUCUUCUAAUUUCAACACCAGAUCUUCAUAUUUAGGGUUUCAAGAUUCGGGGGAAUUCAAUUUGAUCGAUGAAUAGAGGGAGGAUUACGGCGAGUCCACGGCCGUGUAACCGACGGCGAGUGGUGGCGAAGAAGCGGCGGCGAGUGGUGGUGAAGAAGCGGCGCCGUGGUAGUGGUGAUGGAUUUGUGAAUAGUGUUAAGAAGCUGCAGAGGAGGGAGAUUUGUGCGAAGACGGAUCGAGGGUUUAGAAUGUUUGAUGCUCAGUUUGCCGGAGGUUGAAUUUGGUGUUUUGGUGUGGUGCCGGAGGUUUUAAAUAUUGUCUCCGAGCAGGGGUUCGAAGAUAUGGUUGUUGUGGAUACCUUUCCAGUUUCUCAACUUUCUAUUUGUUCCUCAACAAUUUCAGGUUUGGUUUGCUUUGCUUGAUUUCUUCGCUGUGGUCAAAUUUUUGUGUGAUAAAAGUUUAGUUUAUGGUUAUUUUGUUUAUCUUUUGGUGCUUUUAUUAAUGUUAGUUCCAGCAUGUUGAUUUACAGAUGACUUUAUUGCAUUGGUGUGUCAUAUAAAGCUCACAAAGUAGUUGCAACCGGGCUUGCAAAUGAAGAUGAUGAAGAAGAUGAUGGGGUCUACGUGAUCCAUCAAGAGCAGUGGCGGACCCAGGAAUUUUUCCAUGGGAAGUAAAAAAAUCGGUUGUAUCGGGUCGGGUCAUGUAAGACAAACGAACAUCAAACUAAAUUUAUAUAUUUGGCAAACACGUCAAACUUUGUACAAACAUAAUUAAAACGUCGCCCUACGGGUUUUCAUUUUUUGAAAUCUAUCCAAAACAUCAUCUAAAGCUAUUUUUUUAAGCAAGUCUUUCUCUAUAUAAUAUACACAACUAUCACUUAAAUUCUCAUCUCCAAUCCGAUUAUGCAAGUCGGUCUUCACAUUCUUCAUUGCCGAAAAAUAUCUUUCAACGGUUGCGGUUGCGACGGGUAAUACGAGAACAAGCUUCAAUAACCGAUAUACCAAUGUAAAAGUUACGUGAAUAUUUGUUGAAACCAUUAACCUUACAAGACUUGACAAACCAUCCAAGUUGGCGAAUUGUUUAUCUUUUUUCAGAAAAUUAAAGUAUUUUCCGAGUUGAACCGGAAGCCUUCGUUUUUCCUCUUCAUUGAAAUCAUAUGGAUACUUCUCGGCUAGCUUUAGUAUAUUUGGAAUGUCAAAUGCACUAAAAUUAUCACAAGGACUCAAACAACUCAUACAAACAAGGAGUUCCGAUGUUACCUCAUUAAAACGGUUCUCAAAUUCUUGUAUUUGCAAAUCAAGAACCACAUUGAAGCAAUCAUACUCGUAAUAAUGCCGAUUUGUGAUGUUCGUCUUUCUUCUUGGCCACCUUGGGUUAACGUAUUCAUCAUCCAAUUUUUUCACCUCAAGUUCAUACAUGUCACAAAAGGAGUUAACCUUCUCCAAGAACUCAUUAAAACCUUCCAACCUAAACUUUUCAAGUUGGUUUUUGGUGGAAGAAACCAAUUUAACCGCAUUCAUCAAAUCUUGCUCCUUUCUUUGAAGUCAUUGGGACAACGUAUGUGUGAUGUUUAGAAUAUGCUCCAUCAAGUGUAUGUAAAAUACAAAGUCGUAUUUUUUCAUAUCCUCUAAAAGUCCGUCCGCUUGUCUACUACAAGGAAGAGUUUGACCCGUUUAUACUAACUAUCCAAGAACUUCCAUAAUGUUUGGAUAUAAAGAAAUUAAACGGGAAAGUGUCUUGUAAUGGGAAUUCCAAUGUGUAUCCCCGGGCCUUGAAAGUGUCAUUUCUUGGUGCAACCCACUUCCGGUACAAAGUACGUCUUCCAUUUUUUCCAAUUGUCUUCUUUGGCUUUCACGAAGCAUAUCUUGUCGUUUAGAAGAUGUACAAACGACAUUUGUUAAACAUGUUAUCGUUUCAAAAACUCUCCAAAUUGGUAUGUGUUGUGAGCCGCCGCCACAACAACUAGUUGAAGUUGGUGUGCAAAGCAAUGAAUAUAAAAAGCCGAAACAUUUUCCUUUAAGAUUAGAGCCCUUAUGCCGUUAAACUCGCCCGACAUGUUACUUGCCUCGUCAUAGCCUUGGCCUCUAAUCCUUUUCAAACUUAACCCAUAACGUGCCAAUAUAUCAUCAAUAGCCGUUUUGAGUGCUAUUGCGCUUGUCUCUUUGACAUGAACAAGCCCAAUAAAACGCUCCUUAACAAUCCCAACUUUAUCAACAAAACGAAUAACAAUCACCAUUUGUUCUUUUUUUGAUACAUCACAUGAUUCAUCUACUAAUAAAGAAAAAACAUCAUCACCAAGUUCUUCUAGAAUUUGUUUAAUUACCUUUUGAGCAUAACAAUGUUUGAUGUCCGCUUGAAUUUUAGGACUUGUCAUUUGGUUAUUCGCGGGUGCAUUCUCUAAGAUAACGUUAGCAAGCUCUUCAUUCAUUUCACCAUGAUUUCUAAAAGCUCUAAGAAAUUCCCUUUAUUUAAUGAAUCUUUUGAUUCAUCAUGUCCACGAAACGCCAAUCCGCCAUUCAACAACCUUUUCCCAAGCAAAGUAGAAGCACUAAGUCUAAGUCUAAGUCGGUAUUCACGUUUCUCCUUAGGGGUCCUAUUGUCCCAUUGUGUGUGUACCGCUUGAUUUUCGUUAACUAAAUCGGCACUCAUUUGGAAACAUUUGUUGUGUAGACUAUUAACUAAACCAACAUGUUUUUUAAGUGAUGCAUGUACCUUUUUCCAAUUGUUAUACCCACCACUCAUAAAUGUGUCUCUACCAUCUCCGAAGUGGCUCCUAAACAAAUAGCAACAUAAGCAAAACACGCGAUCCGAUUUUGAGCUAUACUCUAACCAUCCCUUAUACUCAUGUUUGUCAUACCAUUCUUCCUUAAAUUUUCUUAACUCGUCACCUUGAAACGUUGUUUGUGGGAAUUCGAUACCUCUUGGUUGAUACGGUCCUCUUAGUAUAUAUGCCCUUCUAAUCUCAUCCCGUUGAUUCACGUUAUAUGAUUCUAUCGGCUUGCGAUCAUACGGAUCCGAAGGAAGAGUAUCCAAAUCAAUUCAUUCGGAAGAUGUAUCCACUUUCCUCUUGAGAAAUCGCGUCAUAACGUCUCUACUCAUGGUUCCUAUAAUCCUAUCACAAUCAAAUUGAUCCAUGACCAUAAGUUCAUCGUUCCAUAACCUUUUUGUUUAAUUUUAACUUUCAACCAUUCAAGCAAUCAAGCCCUAGAAUUGUUUAAUCACCCCUAAAAAUUCAUCUAAAUAACAUAAUCAUCAUAAAAAUCAUCAAAAGCAGUAAAGCAACGACUAAACACAAGAUUUUUCAAACCUAUUUAAGAAUUUUAUUACCCCUUUUCUACCUUAAUAUCAAGUAAAAUCAUCAAAAAAAAACAAUAAAACAUACCUUUGAAGAUCGCCGGUCAGUUUUGGGGCGGAUUCCGGUCACUUUCCGGCUGUGAUCGACCUGUGUUGCUGCUGAUGAUGUCGCUGGGCAGGAGGGCAUAAAGAACGCAGAUGAUCGCUGGGCGGGAUGAUGGGAAAUUGAAGGGGUGCGACUGAAUUAUGGGCUUAAGUUUAGUAUUUUUAUUUAACUUAUGUUGGGUAAUGGACUAAUGGGCUACAAAUGUUAGUGGGCUAAUGUAAGGUUACAUAAUGGGUUAAGCUUUGGUUUGGGUUUGAGUAGUAUAAGUGUAUAUAAUGUAUUAAUAUAGGUAGUAUUUUUAUAAAAAAAAAAAAAAAUCAAACUUUACUUAAAAAAUGUAUAAUAUAAAUCCAUAAUAUUUUUUACCUAUGGUGUGCGGACGAAAAAUUCCAAGGGGUGCGACCGAAAAAUUCCAAGGGGUGCGGACGAAAAAUUCCAAGGGGUGCGGACGGGAUUUUCGUCGGAACUUAACAUAAUUUUUUUUUCUCGGGGGUGCGCCCGCCCACCUUGGCAUGGUGGUGGGUCCGCCCCUGAUCAAGAGGCAGGGGGCAGAUCUAGAGGUUAAGAGGGUGUCCAUGAUACCCCUCAACUUUCUUGACGAAGUGUAAUUUUUUUUUUUUUAAGUUUUUGCAUGACUUAACGACAUUCAUUAGCAAAUUGCUUAAGCUUUAACUUCAAUAUUCAUUAUUCAGUAGCAACUUACUAUCAAUGGCAAUGGUCUUUAACAGGUAACAACUUGCCAUUAGCAAAUUGACACAGUGGUAGCAUCCAUGCUUUCAGAAGGAAAUGUUUAUCAAUACCAUCAUUCACAUUUCAUGUCCAUUAACAACAACUCCAAUAAUCUCAAUCAACAAAAUCUUUAUCAA